rnacentral:rRNA from 1 species
CUAAGAAUAUUCCGCAAUGGACGAAAGUCUGACGGAGCGACGCCGCGUGGAUGAAGAAGGCCGCAAGGUUGUAAAAUCCUUUUGCUGGGGAAGAAUAAGUCCAGGAGGGAAUGCCUGGAUGAUGACAUGAACCGGCGAAUAAGCCCCGGCCAACUACGUGCCAGCAGCCGCGGUCACACGUAGGGGGCAAUCGUUGUUCGGAAUUACUGGGCGUAAAGGGCAUGUAGGCGGUUGAGUAAGCUUGGCGUGAGA